GACGAACGCUGGCGGCGUGCUUAACACAUGCAAGUCGAACGGAAAGGCCCUGCUUUUGUGGGGUGCUCGAGUGGCGAACGGGUGAGUAACACGUGAGUAACCUUCCCUUGACUUUUGGAUACCUUCAGGAAACUGGGGCUAAUACCGGAUAGGAGCUCCUGCUGCAUGGUGGGGGGUGGAAAUUUUCGGCGGCUGGGGAGGGACUCGCGGCUUAUCAGCUUGUUGGGGGGGUAGUGGCUUACCAAGGCUUUGACGGGUAGCCGGCCUGAGAGGGUGACCGGCCACAUUGGGACUGAGAUACGGCCCAGACUCCUACGGGAGGCAGCAGUGGGGAAUAUUGCACAAUGGGCGGAAGCCUGAUGCAGCAACGCCGCGUGCGGGAUGACGGCCUUCGGGUUGUAAACCGCUUUCGCCUGUGACGAAGCGAGAGUGACGGUAAUGGGUAAAGAAGCACCGGCUAACUACGUG
rnacentral:rRNA from 1 species